rnacentral:rRNA from 1 species
UCCGUAGGUGAACCUGCGGAAGGAUCAUUAUCGAGUUUUGAACGGGUUGUAGCUGGCCUCUCACGAGGCAUGUGCACGCCUGGCUCAUCCACUCUUAACCUCUGUGCACUUUAUGUAAGAGAAAAAAAUGGUGGAAGCUUCCAGGAUCUCGCGAGAGGUCUUYGGUUGAACAAGCCAUUUUUCUUUCUUAUGUUUUACUACAAACGCUUCAGUUAUAGAAUGUCAACUGUGUAUAACACAUUUAUAUACAACUUUCAGCAACGGAUCUCUUGGCUCUCGCAUCGAUGAAGAACGCAGCGAAAUGCGAUAAGUAAUGUGAAUUGCAGAAUUCAGUGAAUCAUCGAAUCUUUGAACGCACCUUGCACUCCUUGGUAUUCCGAGGAGUAUGCCUGUUUGAGUCUCAUGGUAUUCUCAACCCCUAAAUUUUUGUAAUGAAGGUUUAGCGGGCUUGGACUUGGAGGUUGUGUCGGCCCUUGUCGGUCGACUCCUCUGAAAUGCAUUAGCGUGAAUCUUACGGAUCGCCUUCAGUGUGAUAAUUAUCUGCGCUGUGGCGUUGAAGUAUUUAUGGUGUUCAUGCCUCGAACCGUCUCCUUGCCGAGACAAUCAUUUGACAAUCUGAGCUCAAAAUCACGUAGGACUACCCGCUGAACUUCAGCAUAUCAAUAAGCGGAGGA